UACGUAGGUGGCAAGCGUUGUCCGGAAUUAUUGGGCGUAAAGCGCGCGCAGGCGGUUUGUUAAGUCUGAUGUGAAAGCCCCCGGCUCAACCGGGGAGGGUCAUUGGAAACUGGCGGACUUGAGUGCAGAAGAGGAAAGUGGAAUUCCAUGUGUAGCGGUGAAAUGCGCAGAGAUGUGGAGGAACGCCAGUGGCGAAGGCGGCUUUCUGGUCUGCAACUGACGCUGAGGUGCGAAAGCGUGGGGAGCAAACAGG
rnacentral:misc_RNA from 1 species